rnacentral:rRNA from 1 species
GCGAUUACUAGCGACUCCGACUUCACGGGGUCGAGUUGCAGACCCCGAUCCGAACUGAGACCGGCUUUCAGGGAUUAGCUCCACCUCACGGCAUCGCAACCCACUGUACCGACCAUUGUAGCAUGUGUGAAGCCCUGGACAUAAGGGGCAUGAUGAUUUGACGUCAUCCCCACCUUCCUCCGAGUUGACCCCGGCAGUUUCUCACGAGUCCCCACCAUUACGUGCUGGCAACAUAAGACAAGGGUUGCGCUCGUUGCGGGACUUAACCCAACAUCUCACGACACGAGCUGACGACAACCAUGCACCACCUGUAUACGAGCCACAAGGGAAGGACCAUCUCUGGCCCGGUCCCGUAUAUGUCAAGCCCAGGUAAGGUUCUUCGCGUUGCAUCGAAUUAAUCCACAUGCUCCGCCGCUUGUGCGGGCCCCCGUCAAUUCCUUUGAGUUUUAGCCUUGCGGCCGUACUCCCCAGGCGGGGCGCUUAAUGCGUUAGCUACGGCACAGAAGUCGUGGAAGACCCCUACACCUAGCGCCCACCGUUUACGGCAUGGACUACCAGGGUAUCUAAUCCUGUUCGCUACCCAUGCUUUCGCUCCUCAGCGUCAGUUACUGCCCAGAGACCCGCCUUCGCCACGGGGGUUCCUCCUGAUAUCUGGCGCAUUUCACCGCUACACCAGGAAUUCCAGUCUCCCUACAGUACUCAAG